GAUGAACGCUGGCGGCGUGCCUAAUACAUGCAAGUCGAGCGAAGCGGGGACGGGUGAGUAACACGUGGAUAACCUCCUAUAAGACUGGGUUAACUUCGGGAAACCGGAGCUAAACCGGUUACUUAUAGCUGGAUUCGGGCUGCAUUAGCUAGUUGGUAAGGUAACGGCUUACCAAGGCAAAGAUGCAUAGCCGACCUGAGAGGGUGAUCAGCCAGACUAGAACUCAGACACGGUCCAGACUCCUACGGCAGGCGGCAGUGGGAAUACUACCGCAAUGGGCGAAAGCCUGACGGAGCAACGCCGCUUGGGUGAUGAAGAGCUUCGGAUCGUAAAUCUCGGUGAUUAGAGAGGCGGUAUCUAACCAGAAAGCCACGGCUAACUACGUGCCAGCAGCCGCGGUAAUUC
rnacentral:rRNA from 1 species